rnacentral:lncRNA from 1 species
AAUUUAUUAAUUAUAUUUUUGUGUUUGACAAGACCUUUGGACUUGUGCCUACGUACCAACAUAAAAAUGAGGGAUCAAAACCUUGUAGUUCGUGGUAUCAACUUCAAAAUGAGUUGAUUGCUUUUAACAAAAAAUUAGGUUUUUAAAGAGGCACAAAGGGCCUAAAAUAUUUUGCAUGAGUGUUAAUUCUUUUUUUCUUUUUUUAAAAUUUUAAGUCAAU